rnacentral:rRNA from 8 species
AGAGUUUGAUCAUGGCUCAGAUUGAACGCUGGCGGCAGGCCUAACACAUGCAAGUCGAGCGGUAGCACAGAGAGCUUGCUCUCGGGUGACGAGCGGCGGACGGGUGAGUAAUGUCUGGGAAACUGCCUGAUGGAGGGGGAUAACUACUGGAAACGGUAGCUAAUACCGCAUAAUGUCGCAAGACCAAAGUGGGGGACCUUCGGGCCUCAUGCCAUCAGAUGUGCCCAGAUGGGAUUAGCUAGUAGGUGGGGUAACGGCUCACCUAGGCGACGAUCCCUAGCUGGUCUGAGAGGAUGACCAGCCACACUGGAACUGAGACACGGUCCAGACUCCUACGGGAGGCAGCAGUGGGGAAUAUUGCACAAUGGGCGCAAGCCUGAUGCAGCCAUGCCGCGUGUGUGAAGAAGGCCUUCGGGUUGUAAAGCACUUUCAGCGGGGAGGAAGGCGAUAAGGUUAAUAACCUUGUCGAUUGACGUUACCCGCAGAAGAAGCACCGGCUAACUCCGUGCCAGCAGCCGCGGUAAUACGGAGGGUGCAAGCGUUAAUCGGAAUUACUGGGCGUAAAGCGCACGCAGGCGGUCUGUCAAGUCGGAUGUGAAAUCCCCGGGCUCAACCUGGGAACUGCAUUCGAAACUGGCAGGCUAGAGUCUUGUAGAGGGGGGUAGAAUUCCAGGUGUAGCGGUGAAAUGCGUAGAGAUCUGGAGGAAUACCGGUGGCGAAGGCGGCCCCCUGGACAAAGACUGACGCUCAGGUGCGAAAGCGUGGGGAGCAAACAGGAUUAGAUACCCUGGUAGUCCACGCCGUAAACGAUGUCGAUUUGGAGGUUGUGCCCUUGAGGCGUGGCUUCCGGAGCUAACGCGUUAAAUCGACCGCCUGGGGAGUACGGCCGCAAGGUUAAAACUCAAAUGAAUUGACGGGGGCCCGCACAAGCGGUGGAGCAUGUGGUUUAAUUCGAUGCAACGCGAAGAACCUUACCUGGUCUUGACAUCCACAGAACUUUCCAGAGAUGGAUUGGUGCCUUCGGGAACUGUGAGACAGGUGCUGCAUGGCUGUCGUCAGCUCGUGUUGUGAAAUGUUGGGUUAAGUCCCGCAACGAGCGCAACCCUUAUCCUUUGUUGCCAGCGGUCCGGCCGGGAACUCAAAGGAGACUGCCAGUGAUAAACUGGAGGAAGGUGGGGAUGACGUCAAGUCAUCAUGGCCCUUACGACCAGGGCUACACACGUGCUACAAUGGCAUAUACAAAGAGAAGCGACCUCGCGAGAGCAAGCGGACCUCAUAAAGUAUGUCGUAGUCCGGAUUGGAGUCUGCAACUCGACUCCAUGAAGUCGGAAUCGCUAGUAAUCGUAGAUCAGAAUGCUACGGUGAAUACGUUCCCGGGCCUUGUACACACCGCCCGUCACACCAUGGGAGUGGGUUGCAAAAGAAGUAGGUAGCUUAACCUUCGGGAGGGCGCUUACCACUUUGUGAUUCAUGACUGGGGUGAAGUCGUAACAAGGUAACCGUAGGGGAACCUGCGGUUGGAUCACCU